AUUGAACGCUGGCGGCAGGCCUAACAUAUGCAAGUCGAACGAGUGGCGUACGGGUGAGUAAUGUCUGGGAAAUUUCCCGAUGGAGGGGGAUAACUACCGGUAACGGUAGCUACUACCGCAUUCCAUCCGUUGUGCUUCGUUGGGAUUAGAUGGUUGGUGGGGUAACGGCGCACCUAGGCGACGAUCCUUAGCUGGUCUGUGAGGAUGACCAGCCAAACUGGAACUGAGACACGGACCAGACUACAAGGGGAGGCAGCAGUGGGGAAUAUUAGACAAUUGGCGCAAGCCUGAUGCAGCCAUGCGGCGUGUAUGAAGAAGGCCUUAGGGUUGUAAAGUACUUUCAGCGAGGAGGCGUUACUCGCAGAAGAAGCACCGGAUAACUCCGUGCCAGCCGCCGCGGUAAUUC
rnacentral:rRNA from 1 species